ensembl:misc_RNA 7SK 7SK RNA
GAAUGUGAGAGCCAUCUGGCUGCAACUCGUCACCCCAAUGAUUGCCAGGGUUGAUUCAGCUGAUCUGGCUGGCUAGGCAGGUGUUCCCUUCCUCCCUCACUGCUCCAUGUAUGUCCCUCCCUGGGUUAAAGGGGACAGCCUUCUCCAAACAGAGAUGGACUGGUUGGUUGAGGGUAUGCAAAUAACUGCGCUCCCCCACUAGAACCUCCAAACAAGCUCUCAAGAAGUCAAGAUAGGGCCAAUAAGGUAGCUCAGGUGGUAGGUUAAGUGCAUUGCCAUGAGUGGCCCAGAUUUACGUCCCAGCAU